CAGGAAGUAGUUUAAUUAGAAUGCUAGCUUUGGGUGCUAGGGGUAAGACUUUUAGUUUUCUUCUUGA
rnacentral:tRNA from 1 species